GGAUGUGAGGGCGAUCUGGCUGCGACAUCUGUCACCCCAUUGAUCGCCAGGGUUGAUUCGGCUGAUCUGGCUGGCUAGGCGGGUGUCCCCUUCCUCCCUCACCGCUCCAUGUGCGUCCCUCCCGAAGCUGCGCGCUUGGUCGAAGAGGACGACCAUCCCCGAUAGAGGAGGACCGUUCUUCUGUCAAGGGUAUACGAGUAACUGCGCUCCCCUGCUAGAACCUCCAAACAAGCUCUCAAGAAAUCAUAAUACCAAACACUUAAUGAAAGGUACUUUGUUUCAUACUGUUCUGGGCUUACAGAUAUUUACUCAUUAAUUCCUUCAAGAAUACUAUGAGAUAGGUAUAAUUAUAU
rnacentral:snRNA from 1 species